GCCGAUGUGGCGGAAUGGCAGACGCGCUCGACUCAAAAUCGAGUGUCUUCGGACGUGUGGGUUCGAAUCCCACCAUCGGUACCA
rnacentral:tRNA from 1 species